CUCUAGCCCCGAUAGGAACGGCAUCCUUUUUUUGAGGUUGGCAUUGGCGGUGGGAAAAAAGAUAUAGUGGAUAGCGGGAUUAAGC
rnacentral:sRNA from 1 species